rnacentral:rRNA from 1 species
UACGUAGGUGGCAAGCGUUGUCCGGAAUUAUUGGGCGUAAAGGGCUCGCAGGCUGUUCCUUAAGUCUGAUGUGAAAUCUUGCGGCUUAACCGUAAGCGGUCAUUGGAAACUGGGGGACUUGAGUGCAGAAGAGGAGAGUGGAAUUCCACGUGUAGCGGUGAAAUGCGUAGAGAUGUGGAGGAACACCAGUGGCGAAGGCGGCUCUCUGGUCUGUAACUGACGCUGAGGAGCGAAAGCGUGGGGAGCAAACAGG